rnacentral:rRNA from 1 species
CCUUAACCUGCUAACUAGUUACACGAACUCUUCGGGGUUCCGUGGCCAACUUCUUAGAGGGACUAUCGGUGUUCAACCGAUGGAAGUUUGAGGCAAUAACAGGUCUGUGAUGCCCUUAGAUGUUCUGGGCCGCACGCGCGCUACACUGACGAAGGCAACGAGUCUAUAACCUUGGCCGGUAGGUCUGGGUAAUCUUGUAAACUUCGUCGUGCUGGGGAUAGAUCAUUGCAAUUAUUGAUCUUCAACGAGGAAUUCCUAGUAGGCGUGGGUCAUCAGCUCGCGUCGAUUACGUCCCUGCCCUUUGUACACACCGCCCGUCGCUACUACCGAUUGAAUGGUUUAGUGAGAUCUCCGGACUGGCGUGCUGCAGCUGGCAACAGCCGCGGCACGCUGGGAAGUUGCUCAAACUUGAUCAUUUAGAGGAAGUAAAAGUCG